rnacentral:rRNA from 1 species
ACCCCUUCACAAUCCACAUACACCUGGUGCACUGUUUUGGCUUUUGAGCAAUCGAAAGCCAAUCAUUUUAUACAAACUCUCAGUUUAAUGAAUGUAACCGUUUUAUAUAAACAAAAUAAAACUUUCAACAACGGAUCUCUUGGUUCUCGCAUCGAUGAAGAACGCAGCGAAAUGCGAUAAGUAAUGUGAAUUGCAGAAUUCAGUGAAUCAUCGAAUCUUUGAACGCACCUUGCGCUCCUUGGUAUUCCGAGGAGCAUGCCUGUUUGAGUGUCAUGAAACUCUCAACCUCUGACUUUCUUAAUCGUCGGUCAGCGGCUUGGACUUGGGCGCUGCCGGUCUUAAUUGAUCGGCUCGCCUGAAAUGUUUUAGCGAAUCCCUUCUGUAAUCGGUUCCACUCGACGUGAUAAGUAUCUCGUCGAGGACAUCUUUAUUGAUGGCCGAGAUAAAGCUGGUUUAAGAUCUGCUUCUAACUCUUUCUUUUGCCAUCUGGCAGGGAAAACCCCUUUAUGAUCUGGCCUCAAAUCAGGUAGGACUACCCGCUGAACUUAAGCAUAUCAAUAAGCGGAGGAAAAGAAACUAACAAGGAUUCCCCUAGUAACGGCGAGUGAAGCGGGAUGAGCUCAAAUUUAAAAUCUGGCUGCCUCAG